rnacentral:rRNA from 1 species
GUGGGGAAUCUUGCGCAAUGGGCGAAAGCCUGACGCAGCGACGCCGCGUGUGGGAUGACGGCCUUCGGGUUGUAAACCACUGUCGGGAGGGACGAAGCUCUGACGGUACCUCCAAAGGAAGCACCGGCUAACUCUGUGCCAGCAGCCGCGGUAAUACAGAGGGUGCGAGCGUUGUCCGGAAUCACUGGGCGUAAAGGGCGCGUAGGCGGCCCGAUAAGUAGGGGGUGAAAUCCUGCGGCUUAACUGCAGGGCUGCCUCCUAGACUGUCAGGCUCGAGCACGGUAGAGGCAGAUGGAAUUCCCGGUGUAGCGGUGGAAUGCGUAGAGAUCGGGAAGAACAUCGGUGGCGAAGGCGGUCUGCUGGGCCGUUGCUGACGCUGAGGCGCGACAGCGUGGGGAGCAAACAGGAUUAGAUACCCCAGUAGUCC